CACUAUCGUUAACUGAAUACAUAGGUUAACGAGGCGAACCGGGGGAACUGAAACAUCUAAGUACCCCGAGGAAAAGAAAUCAACCGAGAUUCCCCCAGUAGCGGCGAGCGAACGGGGAGCAGCCCAGAGUCUGAAUCAGCUUGUGUGUUAGUGGAACGGUCUGGAAAGUCCGACGGUACAGGGUGAUAGUCCCGUACACCAAAAUGCACAGGCUGUGAACUCGAAGAGUAGGGCGGGACACGUGGUAUCCUGUCUGAAUAUGGGGGGACCAUCCUCCAAGGCUAAAUACUCCUGACUGACCGAUAGUGAACCAGUACCGUGAGGGAAAGGCGAAAAGAACCCCGGCGAGGGGAGUGAAAAAGAACCUGAAACCGUGUACGUACAAGCAGUGGGAGCACCUUCGGGUGUGACUGCGUACCUUUUGUAUAAUGGGUCAGCGACUUAUAUUCUGUAGCAAGGUUAACCGUAUAGGGGAGCCGCAGGGAAACCGAGUCUUAACUGGGCGUUAAGUUGCAGGGUAUAGACCCGAAACCCGGUGAUCUAGCCAUGGGCAGGUUGAAGGUUGGGUAACACUAACUGGAGGACCGAACCGACUAAUGUUGAAAAAUUAGCGGAUGACUUGUGGCUGGGGGUGAAAGGCCAAUCAAACCGGGAGAUAGCUGGUUCUCCCCGAAAGCUAUUUAGGUAGCGCCUCGUGAAUUCAUCUUCGGGGGUAGAGCACUGUUUCGGCUAGGGGGUCAUCCCGACUUACCAACCCGAUGCAAACUACGAAUACCGAAGAAUGUUAUCACGGGAGACACACGGCGGGUGCUAACGUCCGUCGUGAAGAGGGAAACAACCCAGACCGCCAGCUAAGGUCCCAAAGUCAUGGUUAAGUGGGAAACGAUGUGGGAAGGCACAGACAGCCAGGAUGUUGGCUUAGAAGCAGCCAUCAUUUAAAGAAAGCGUAAUAGCUCACUGGUCGAGUCGGCCUGCGCGGAAGAUGUAACGGGGCUAAACCAUGCACCGAAGCUGCGGCAGCGACACUAUGUGUUGUUGGGUAGGGGAGCGUUCUGUAAGCCUGCGAAGGUGNUGCUGGAGGUAUCAGAAGUGCGAAUGCUGACAUAAGUAACGAUAAAGCGGGUGAAAAGCCCGCUCGCCGGAAGACCAAGGGUUCCUGUCCAACGUUAAUCGGGGCAGGGUGAGUCGACCCCUAAGGCGAGGCCGAAAGGCGUAGUCGAUGGGAAACAGGUUAAUAUUCCUGUACUUGGUGUUACUGCGAAGGGGGGACGGAGAAGGCUAUGUUAGCCGGGCGACGGUUGUCCCGGUUUAAGCAUGUAGGCUGGUUAUCCAGGCAAAUCCGGAUAAUCAAGGCUGAGGUGUGAUGACGAGGCACUACGGUGCUGAAGUAACAAAUGCCCUGCUUCCAGGAAAAGCCUCUAAGCAUCAGGUAACAUCAAAUCGUACCCCAAACCGACACAGGUGGUCAGGUAGAGAAUACCAAGGCGCUUGAGAGAACUCGGGUGAAGGAACUAGGCAAAAUGGUGCCGUAACUUCGGGAGAAGGCACGCUGGUGUGUAGGUGAAGCCCCUGCGGGUGGAGCUGAGACCAGUCGAAGAUACCAGCUGGCUGCAACUGUUUAUUAAAAACACAGCACUGUGCAAACACGAAAGUGGACGUAUACGGUGUGACGCCUGCCCGGUGCCGGAAGGUUAAUUGAUGGGGUUAUCCGUAAGGAGAAGCUCUUGAUCGAAGCCCCGGUAAACGGCGGCCGUAACUAUAACGGUCCUAAGGUAGCGAAAUUCCUUGUCGGGUAAGUUCCGACCUGCACGAAUGGCGUAAUGAUGGCCAGGCUGUCUCCACCCGAGACUCAGUGAAAUUGAACUCGCUGUGAAGAUGCAGUGUACCCGCGGCAAGACGGAAAGACCCCGUGAACCUUUACUAUAGCUUGACACUGAACAUUGAGCCUUGAUGUGUAGGAUAGGUGGGAGGCUUUGAAGCGUGGACGCCAGUCUGCGUGGAGCCAACCUUGAAAUACCACCCUUUAAUGUUUGAUGUUCUAACGUUGGCCCCUUACCGGGGUUGCGGACAGUGUCUGGUGGGUAGUUUGACUGGGGCGGUCUCCUCCCAAAGCGUAACGGAGGAGCACGAAGGUUAGCUAAUCCUGGUCGGACAUCAGGAGGUUAGUGCAAUGGCAUAAGCUAGCUUGACUGCGAGCGUGACGGCGCGAGCAGGUGCGAAAGCAGGUCAUAGUGAUCCGGUGGUUCUGAAUGGAAGGGCCAUCGCUCAACGGAUAAAAGGUACUCCGGGGAUAACAGGCUGAUACCGCCCAAGAGUUCAUAUCGACGGCGGUGUUUGGCACCUCGAUGUCGGCUCAUCACAUCCUGGGGCUGAAGUAGGUCCCAAGGGUAUGGCUGUUCGCCAUUUAAAGUGGUACGCGAGCUGGGUUUAGAACGUCGUGAGACAGUUCGGUCCCUAUCUGCCGUGGGCGCUGGAGAAUUGAGGGGGGCUGCUCCUAGUACGAGAGGACCGGAGUGGACGCAUCACUGGUGUUCGGGUUGUCAUGCCAAUGGCACUGCCCGGUAGCUAAAUGCGGAAGAGAUAAGUGCUGAAAGCAUCUAAGCACGAAACUUGCCCCGAGAUGAGUUCUCCCUGAGACUUUAAGUCUCCUGAAGGAACGUUGAAGACGACGACGUUGAUAGGCCGGGUGUGUAAGCGCAGCGAUGCGUUGAGCUAACCGGUACUAAUGAACCGUGAGGCUUAACCUU
rnacentral:rRNA from 1 species